rnacentral:rRNA from 1 species
UACGAAGGGGGCUAGCGUUGUUCGGAAUUACUGGGCGUAAAGCGCACGUAGGCGGCCAACUAAGUCCGAACGUGAAAUCCCAAAGCUUAACUUUCGGAACUGCGUCGGAUACUGGAUGGCUUGAAUUCGGGAGAGGGAUGCAGAAGUUCCAGGGUGUGAGCGGUGAAAUGCGUAGAUAUCGGGAGGAACACCAGUGGCGAA